rnacentral:lncRNA from 1 species
CAUCUCGCCCGCCAACUGAUGUGAGGAAAUUAAGGAAAAAGGAUAGUGCUUGUCCUGCCCCUCCAAAGUCAAGUCAGAAACCUACUUCCGCUAUGGCAUUGUCAACUUCAAUCGAAAGAGAUAGCGUCGAGCGGAUAUCUCUGCUGGAGCAACCUCAACUUGGUCACGAUUUUCUUACCUUGGUGUUGCCAAAGGUCGAUAUGGAGGCACACU